rnacentral:lncRNA from 1 species
AAUAUUGCUUGUGCAUAGUCAUUUCAUUCAAUUUUUGCAUUAGUGAAUUAAUGCUUUGAUUUUUUUGAAACAUUCUGACUUUAUUUGAAUUUCAGCAUUUUUUCUCUAUCUGGAAGGGAAGCCAUUUUACAGCUGCCUUACCUUCUUUCACCACUUCAGAGUUGGACAAAAAAUUUUAAAGGAGUAGCCUAAGCAAAUUUGAAAGCAAAGAGCAAAUAUGCUAUGAGGUCUGCAUUACGGAUCACCAAGAUCAAGUAGCUUUGUGUGAGAUCUGAAGGAAUCUCUGAGCCUGUGACCUUUGCAACUGCUUCCCCAGACUCAGCGGUGCCUUGAGGUGGCAGAAGGAAGCAUUGCAAGCAAUCAGUUCCACAAGGUUGCAGUGUCUGGUGUGCGAUACGAGAAAGUCUGCAGAAACCCUGUAAAGCUCAGAUUGACGCGGGGCAGCUCGUAGCUGUUGUGAAAAGGAGGCUGUGACCAGCGUGACUGCUUCUGAAAUGAAGAUUACGUUUGAAAUGCUCUGUAUUUUCACCAUGUU